UUACGGCCAUAUAGCGUUGAAACACCAGUUCACGUACAAUCACAGAAUUUAAGCAACGUCGAACCUGGUCAGUACCGAGAUGGGUGACCAUUUGGGAAUACCAGGUGCUGUAA